AUUGAACGCUGGCGGCAGGCUUAACACAUGCAAGUCGAACGAGUGGCGGACGGGUGAGUAAUGCUUGGGACUCCAGCUUAUGGAGGGGGAAAACUACGGGAAACUGUAGCUAAUACCGCGUACCAUAGGAUGACCCCAUGUGGGAUUAGGUAGUUGGUGAGGUAAAGGCUCACAAAGCCGACGACCUCUAGCUGGUCUGAGAGGAUGAUCAGCCACACUGGCACUGAGACACGGUCCAGACUCCUACGGGAGGCAGCAGUGGGGAAUAUUGCACAAUGGGCGCAAGCCUGAUGCAGCCAUGCCGCGUGUAUGAAGAAGGCCUUAGGGUUGUAAAGUACUUUCAGCGGGGAGGCGUUACCCGCAGAAGAAGCACCGGCUAACUCCGUGCCAGCAGCCGCGGUAAUAC
rnacentral:rRNA from 1 species